GCUGGAACAACGCACAGUACUGCUUUAAUAGCUGAUGGUGCUCUUUUCUACUGGGUUUCAUCAGAUCCUGAUCUAAAAUGCCAGCAGAUAUUUUCAAUGUGUGGAAGGAAUAUUGUGAACAUCUCGGCUGGAAAGUACUGGACCGCUGUGGCUA